rnacentral:rRNA from 2 species
AUCAUGAUUUACAUUUGAGUGAGUGGCGAACUGGUGAGUAACACGUGGGAAACCUGCCCAGAAGCGGGGGAUAACACCUGGAAACAGAUGCUAAUACCGCAUAACAACUUGGACCGCAUGGUCCGAGUUUGAAAGAUGGCUUCGGCUAUCACUUUUGGAUGGUCCCGCGGCGUAUUAGCUAGAUGGUGGGGUAACGGCUCACCAUGGCAAUGAUACGUAGCCGACCUGAGAGGGUAAUCGGCCACAUUGGGACUGAGACACGGCCCAAACUCCUACGGGAGGCAGCAGUAGGGAAUCUUCCACAAUGGACGAAAGUCUGAUGGAGCAACGCCGCGUGAGUGAAGAAGGGUUUCGGCUCGUAAAACUCUGUUGUUAAAGAAGAACAUAUCUGAGAGUAACUGUUCAGGUAUUGACGGUAUUUAACCAGAAAGCCACGGCUAACUACGUGCCAGCAGCCGCGGUAAUACGUAGGUGGCAAGCGUUGUCCGGAUUUAUUGGGCGUAAAGCGAGCGCAGGCGGUUUUUUAAGUCUGAUGUGAAAGCCUUCGGCUCAACCGAAGAAGUGCAUCGGAAACUGGGAAACUUGAGUGCAGAAGAGGACAGUGGAACUCCAUGUGUAGCGGUGAAAUGCGUAGAUAUAUGGAAGAACACCAGUGGCGAAGGCGGCUGUCUGGUCUGUAACUGACGCUGAGGCUCGAAAGUAUGGGUAGCAAACAGGAUUAGAUACCCUGGUAGUCCAUACCGUAAACGAUGAAUGCUAAGUGUUGGAGGGUUUCCGCCCUUCAGUGCUGCAGCUAACGCAUUAAGCAUUCCGCCUGGGGAGUACGGCCGCAAGGCUGAAACUCAAAGGAAUUGACGGGGGCCCGCACAAGCGGUGGAGCAUGUGGUUUAAUUCGAAGCUACGCGAAGAACCUUACCAGGUCUUGACAUACUAUGCAAAUCUAAGAGAUUAGACGUUCCCUUCGGGGACAUGGAUACAGGUGGUGCAUGGUUGUCGUCAGCUCGUGUCGUGAGAUGUUGGGUUAAGUCCCGCAACGAGCGCAACCCUUAUUAUCAGUUGCCAGCAUUAAGUUGGGCACUCUGGUGAGACUGCCGGUGACAAACCGGAGGAAGGUGGGGAUGACGUCAAAUCAUCAUGCCCCUUAUGACCUGGGCUACACACGUGCUACAAUGGAUGGUACAACGAGUUGCGAACUCGCGAGAGUAAGCUAAUCUCUUAAAGCCAUUCUCAGUUCGGAUUGUAGGCUGCAACUCGCCUACAUGAAGUCGGAAUCGCUAGUAAUCGCGGAUCAGCAUGCCGCGGUGAAUACGUUCCCGGGCCUUGUACACACCGCCCGUCACACCAUGAGAGUUUGUA